rnacentral:tRNA from 1 species
GGGCUUUUAGCUCAGUGGUUAGAGCGUUCGUCUCCCAUGCCGGUGUGUGUGUCAAGGUGGCGGGUUCGAGGCCCGUGAGUGGCG